GAUGAACGCUGACAGAAUGCUUAACACAUGCAAGUCUACUUGAACUUCGGUUUGGGUGGCGGCCGGGUGAGUAACGCGUAAAGAACUUGCCUCACAGUUAGGGACAACAUUUGGAAACGAAUGCUAAUACCUGAUAUUAUGAUUUUAGGGCAUCCUAAGAUUAUGAAAGCUAUAUGCACUGUGAGAGAGCUUUGCGUCCCAUUAGCUAGUUGGAGAGGUAACGGCUCACCAAGGCGAUGAUGGGUAGCCGGCCUGAGAGGGUGAACGGCCACAAGGGGAAUGAGACACGGCCCUUACUCCUACGGGAGGCAGCAGUGGGGAAUAUGGGACAAUGGACCAAAAGUCUGAUCCAGCAAUUCUGUGUGCACGAUGACGUUUUUCGGAAUGUAAAGUGCUUUCAGUUGGGAAGAAAAAAAUGACGGUACCAACAGAAGAAGUGACGGCUAAAUACGUG
rnacentral:rRNA from 1 species